rnacentral:rRNA from 1 species
UACCCGCAGCACAAGUGGUGGUCAUUAUUAUUGGGCCUAAAGCGUCCGUAGCUGGCGUGUUAGAUGCCUGGGUAAAUCGAUGCGCUUAACGUAUCGAAUUCCGGGUAGACCGGCACGCUCGAGACCGGGAGAGGUGUAGGGUACUCGGGGGGUAGGGGUAAAAUCCUGUAAUCCUCCGGGGACGACCAGUGGCGAAGGCGCUACACUAGAACGGCUCUGACAGUGAGGGACGAAGCCCUGGGGCGCAACCGG